UACGAAGGGGGCUAGCGUUGCUCGGAAUCACUGGGCGUAAAGCGCACGUAGGCGGCUUUCUAAGUCAGGGGUGAAAUCCUGGAGCUCAACUCCAGAACUGCCUUUGAUACUGGAGAGCUUGAGUCCGGGAGAGGUGAGUGGAACUCCGAGUGUAGAGGUGAAAUUCGUAGAUAUUCGGAAGAACACCAGUGGCGAAGGCGGCUCACUGGCCCGUUACCGACGCUCAGGCGCGACAGCGUGGGGAGCAAACAGG
rnacentral:rRNA from 1 species